rnacentral:tRNA from 1 species
GCGCCAGUAGCUCAGCCGGAUAGAGCGUCGCCCUCCGGAGGCGAAGGUCAGGGGUUCGAAUCCUCUCUGGCGCGCCA